UAGCAGGAAAAGGCCCUGGGGGUGGGGCCUAGGUGGGGUGAUGUUCAAGUGUGGGGCAGGGCCUCUGCUUAGGACCUGGGUGGAAGGAAAGGAGGGCCUCUGGAGUGUGGAGUUCUGGAGUGUGGAGGAAGAAGAGACGGCAGCUGAGAAGGGAGAAGAUAGGAGGAGGGUGGUAUUCUCUGUGGCUGGUAACAAGAAAAGAAAGAAUAUGGCUCAUGAAAGAUUUCAGAAGCGCUUCUUUUCAGUAACAGACUUCAGAAAGGAUUGAUGUCUUGCCUUCUUGUUCCCCCUGUCCUCCAAAGCUUCGAGGUCACCUUUCAACUUCUGAGUCUCUUUCAGGGCUGCAGCACGAACCUUCACAACUCGUGAGAGCUCCCCUUCAUUCUUUUCAAGAAUGGAUUUCACCUUAGUAGAAAAAAAGAAAUGAUAAAUGAUUCUCCCAAAGCACAAUCAAUCAGCAAUUAGAAUAAGACAGCAAUUUAGAAGCCAAAUUUAAAAUGUUUAAUUAAAUAUGCUUAUAUAUUAUUGUAAAUAAAAACUAGCUUUAGUAGCUGUUUUUCCCCUUAAAACUACAAAGCAAAAAAAAAAUCUGUUAAUAAACAUGGGCAAAUCUCUAAUAUAUGUCAAUCUCUAUGAAAGCACAGAAUGAAGGUAAGGGAGAUAAGACAAUGAUGCUAAGAUGAAAAACGGGGGAGGAACUGAUUAUCACAGAAUUUGAAAAUACAAUAUAAAUUAAUAUCAUAAAAGCAAAGGUGAAGAAGUACUAAAUAGUGUCAAGAAAAUAGUGUUACAGAAGUGUUCUAAAUAGUGUCCUAAUCCUAAUUAGAAGUAUUAGAAUUUUACAUCUCUGAAAUACUUUUAGUAUAUCUACAGUUAUUUCAGAUGAUCAUACUAUUCUAAAUACUACUCUUUUAAAAAAUACUUUAUCUUGAAAUACAGACUCACAGGAGGUUACAAAAUUAGUGCAGAGUCCCCAUGCACUCUUUUCCCUGCUUCUAAUGAUGACAUCUUAUAUUGUAGUUCAACAUUAAAACCAGGAAACUGACUUUAAUGAGAUUAACUAGACUACAAAACUUACAAUUUUCACCAUUUUUUUUAAUCUGCAUUCAUCUGUGUAUGCACACAUGCACACAGCUCUAUGUAAUCUGAUCCCAUGCACAUAUUCCUGUGAUCACGACAAUCAAGAUAACAGAACUGCUCCACUGCCGCAAAGAACUCACUUGUGCUACUUCUCUGUGUUCACACCCUCCCCCAAACUCAUCCCAUGUCCCCUGGCAACCACUAAUUUGUUCUCUAUCGCUACUGUUUUUGUCAUUUCAAGAAUGUUAUUUUAAGCAUUUAAAAAUAAUUAAUUUCAGUAUAAUACAUUCAUAUUUUUAAAACAGCCUUACUGAGAUAUAGUUGACAUACAAUAAGCUAUGUAUAUUUAAAGUGUACAAUUUUGAUAUAUGUAUAAACCAUAAUCAUGAUAAUGAACACUUCCAUUAUCCCAAAAGUUCCCUUAUGCCUUUUUGUAAUUUCCCCCACUUCUAUCUCUCCCUGUUCCUACACAUCCACCCAAGGCUACCACUGACCUGUUUCCUGUCACAAUCAAUUCACUUUUAUUUCCUAGAAUUUUAUAUAAUGAAAUCAUAUUUUAUGUACUCAUUUCUGAAUGAUUUUUCACUCAGCACAGUUAUUUUGAGAUUCACUCAAUCUUCUUUAUGUUGCGGAAUAGUGUUCUGCUGAACACUUGAGUUGUUCCAGUUUUAGCUAUUACAAGUAGAGCUGCUCUGGGCAGUUGUAUACAGAUCUUUGUGUAGACAUACGCUUUCAUUUAUCUUUGGUAAAUGCAUAGGAGUGGAAUGGCUGGGUUGUAUGGUAGUAAUAUGUAUCACUUUUAAAGAAACUACCAGACUAUUUUCCAGAGUGGCUGAGUGAUUUUACAUUCCCUUCAGCAACGUAUGAGAGUUCCUCCACAUCUUCACUAACACUUGGGGUAAUCAGUUUUUCAAUUUUAGACAUUCUAAUAGUGUGUGGUAGUAUCUCACUGCAGUUUCAAUUUGCAUUUCCCUAAUAACUGAUGUUUAACAUCUUUUCAAGUGCUUAUUUAUCAUCCAUAUAUCUUUUUUGGUGAAACGUGUGUUCAAAUACUUUGCGCCUUUUUCUUUUUUUUCGUAUUGUCUUUCCUUCUUAGUGAGUUUUGAGAGUUUUUAAUAAACUGUGGAGACAAGACCUUUAUCAGAUAUGUGAUUUGCAAAUGUUUUUUUCCCCCAGCCUGUAGCUUUUCUCUUCAUUUUCUUAACAAUGUCUUUGAAGAGCAUACGUUGUCAAUGUUACAUUUUUUCCUUUAUGGAUCAUGCUUUUGAUGUCAAAUCUAAGAAAUCUUUGUGUAAUCCAAGAUCACAAUGGUUUCAUCCUAUGUUUCAGAAGUUUUACAGUUUUAGGUUUUACCUUUACGGCUUUCAUCCAUUUUGAGUUAAUUUUUGUAUAUGGUAAGAGGUAUGGAUCAAAGGUAUUUUGUUUUUUUGUUUUGCAUAUGAUACCCAAUUGCUUUAGCACAUUUGAUGAAAAGACCAUCCUUUCUCUACUUUUGCUUCUGUUGAAAAUAAAGUGUUCAUAAAAUUAUUCUGGAUGGGUAGCACAUUCACAUUACUCUUAAGGUGCAAAAGGAUAAAGUGAAAAAUCUCCCAGCCACCCAGUUUGCUUCCUCGAAAAUAAUGUUGCCAAUUUAUUACGAUUCAUUUUAGAGAGACUCUAUUCAAAAGUGAAUACAUAUGUAUACUUCAUCGCCCCAAUCCUUCUGCACACAAAUAUUAAAAUACUCUGUAUACUCUU